rnacentral:misc_RNA from 1 species
AAGUCGUAACAAGGUAACCGUAGGUGAACCUGCGGUUGGAUCAUUAAAAAACGUUGGUUUUCGUAACCAUCAACCCUGUGCGCAAUCAUAAUGUCCUUUUUGGGAGCUGUUCUUUGUCGGAUGAAUCUGAGCGACAAGGGUUGGGGAGAUUUUCACUUGUGGUCAAUUCCCCCUUCUUCCGUAAGCUUAAGGCUCGUCCGGCAAUGCUCCCAAUGACGUGUUUUAACAUCAUAUUUAUCUUGUUUCUAACUUCUUACUAUUUGUAUUUUCACUGCGAAGUGAACUUAUGAAAACAAUUACAACUUUUGACAACGGAUCUCUUGGCUCUC